rnacentral:sRNA from 1 species
GAAGAUCACAGUGAAGGAUAAUCUGAUGGAGGAACAUUGACAAAUGGACAGCCUAGAAUGCACCAUUACUGUGGAAAACGACUGCACAUCUUGCUUCCCAUCUUGGAUCGGGUGAUAGGAUUUCAUAUUCUUGGACCAAACGCCGGUGAGGUUACCCAAGGAUUUGCAGCUGCAAUGAAAUGUGGGCUCACAAAACAGCUACUUGAUGACACCAUUGGAAUUCACCCCACAUGUGGGGAGGUGUUCACGACUUUGGAAAUCACAAAGUCGUCGGGACUAGACAUCACUCAGAAAGGCUGCUGAGGCUAGGCCUGCUGCUGUUUAGUUCUCCUUGUCAUAUUCUCAUUUCUCUCAAAGAUAAGAAUGCUCUCGGAUAAAAUGAGCCUGUGCUCAUGACAGCUGCUCUGUUACUCAGGGACCAGUGCAGGGCUGUCUUACGACACUUAGAUGAGAAAGUAGACAGGGAAAGAGGACAGCAGUGGGCAUCUGCCUUGUGGUCUUGCUGACAGCGAGAAGCAGUGGGACUGCUUCCUUGACGCCUUAGCUUGGAGCCCCGUUAUGAGGUGAGCCAAGGCUGACUCUCGCAAGCCAGGACUGAGCUUCCCUUGGAAAGACCUUUGAGUGGCACCAUUCACCUAAGUUAGCUUUUCUGGUCGCUAUUGUUUUUAUCCCCUUUGCUUUGUUGUUUCUGUGAAAAUAUAUUUUCAGUUAAGAAAUGCUAUAAA